ensembl:lncRNA
GCCGGUGAUACUGACACAUAGCCAGUGCUCCUGUGUGGCAGGCGCUGUUAUGUGCAAUCACACAGUGGCAUUGCUCUUCCAAACAGCACACUACUCACAACUCAGAGUGCCGGUUGUCCCCCCUGUGCAUAGCUGCACGGAAUCUGAACAGCAAUGGCACAAGCCACGGACAGUGGGUGUGAGGCCAGGACCCAUCAACUCCAUGAUCUUCACUAAGCCAGUAACAAAUAGGAUGGCCCAGACUGGAGUACGGAGUGGCUUCUACAGAGGCAUGGUGGGUCCGUUACCAGAUCCCUGCUUGUUCAGAAUAACGGAGGCAUAUGCAAAAUUUAAUAUUGAGGACAGGCCACUUGUGACCACAAUGAACAUGAGACCUG